AUCCUUUUCUGAUCCCUAAGCAUGAUGAUUGGGAUUUUACAGCAGCCUGUGAGAUAUGCCUCCCUCAAAUCCUGUUACAUUAUCAGCACAUUACCAAUCUGACA
ensembl:snoRNA